rnacentral:rRNA from 1 species
AAAGGCGCGCGAUACAGGGUGACAGCCCCGUACACAAAAGCGCAUGUGCUGUGAGCUCGAUGAGUAGGGCGGGACACGUGGUAUCCUGUCUGAAUAUGGGGGGACCAUCCUCCAAGGCUAAAUACUCCUGACUGACCGAUAGUGAACCAGUACCGUGAGGGAAAGGCGAAAAGAACCCCGGCGAGGGGAGUGAAAAAGAACCUGAAACCGUGUACGUACAAGCAGUGGGAGCACCCUUUGGGGUGUGACUGCGUACCUUUUGUAUAAUGGGUCAGCGACUUAUAUUCUGUAGCAAGGUUAACCGAAUAGGGGAGCCGGAGGGAAACCGAGUCUUAAUUGGGCGUUAAGUUGCAGGGUAUAGACCCGAAACCCGGUGAUCUAGCCAUGGGCAGGUUGAAGGUUGGGUAACACUAACUGGAGGACCGAACCGACUAAUGUUGAAAAAUUAGCGGAUGACCUGUGGCUGGGGGUGAAAGGCCAAUCAAACCGGGAGAUAGCUGGUUCUCCCCGAAAGCUAUUUAGGUAGCGCCUCGUGAAUUCAUCUCCGGGGGUAGAGCACUGUUUCGGCUAGGGGGCCAUCCCGGCUUACCAACCCGAUGCAAACUGCGAAUACCGGAGAAUGUUAUCACGGGAGACACACGGCGGGUGCUAACGUCCGUCGUGAAGAGGGAAACAACCCAGACCGCCAGCUAAGGUCCCAAAGUCAUGGUUAAGUGGGAAACGAUGUGGGAAGGCCCAGACAGCCAGGAUGUUGGCUUAGAAGCAGCCAUCAUUUAAAGAAAGCGUAAUAGCUCACUGGUCGAGUCGGCCUGCGCGGAAGAUGUAACGGGGCUAAACCAUGCACCGAAGCUGCGGCAGCGACACUAUGUGUUGUUGGGUAGGGGAGCGUUCUGUAAGCCUGUGAAGGUGGCCUGUGAGGGUUGCUGGAGGUAUCAGAAGUGCGAAUGCUGACAUAAGUAACGAUAAAGCGGGUGAAAAGCCCGCUCGCCGGAAGACCAAGGGUUCCUGUCCAACGUUAAUCGGGGCAGGGUGAGUCGACCCCUAAGGCGAGGCCGAAAGGCGUAGUCGAUGGGAAACGGGUUAAUAUUCCCGUACUUGGUGUUACUGCGAAGGGGGGACGGAGAAGGCUAUGUUGGCCGGGCGACGGUUGUCCCGGUUUAAGCGUGUAGGUGUGUGUUCCAGGUAAAUCCGGUUCACUUUAACACUGAGGCGUGAUGACGAGGCACUACGGUGCUGAAGCAACAAAUGCCCUGCUUCCAGGAAAAGCCUCUAAGCAUCAGGUAACAUCAAAUCGUACCCCAAACCGACACAGGUGGUCAGGUAGAGAAUACCAAGGCGCUUGAGAGAACUCGGGUGAAGGAACUAGGCAAAAUGGUGCCGUAACU